GCUAACACAUGCUUAACACAUGCAAGUCAAACUUGUUUUCGGGGAGCUGGACAGAAAAAGAGGCUCCUUGUGUGAAGGUUGCUUGUCUUGCCCAAGAGAUAGGAAUAGGUGAAAACAAAGUGGCGAACGUGUGCAUAAUGCAUGGGAAUUACCGAACAGUUCGAGCCAAUAUGAAGAAAGCUAAAAGGCGCUAUUUGAUGAGCCUACGCAAUAUUAGGUAGUUGGUCAGGUAAAGGCUGACUAAGCCAAUAAUGCUUAGCUAGUCUUUUCGGAUGAUCAACCACACUGGAGACGGAAACACAGCUCGGAUUCCCACAGGGGCAGCAUUGGAGAAUCUUGGACAAUGGACGAAAACCCGAUCCAACAAUAUUGCGGGAGUGAAGAAGGGCAUUGUCGUAUGUAAAGCUCUUUCGUCGAUGCUACCUACUAAAAGAGCUUACGACCAUGCCAUCAUUCUUAAAGAGGGAGC
rnacentral:ncRNA from 1 species